UACGUAGGGUGCGAGCGUUGUCCGGAAUUAUUGGGCGUAAAGAGCUCGUAGGCGGUCUGUCGCGUCGAUCGUGAAAACUUGGGGCUUAACCCUGAGCUUGCGGUCGAUACGGGCAUGACUGGAGUUCGGCAGGGGAGACUGGAAUUCCUGGUGUAGCGGUGAAAUGCGCAGAUAUCAGGAGGAACACCGGUGGCGAAGGCGGGUCUCUGGGCCGACACUGACGCUGAGGAGCGAAAGCGUGGGGAGCGAACAGG
rnacentral:rRNA from 1 species